rnacentral:rRNA from 1 species
CACGUAGGCGGCGAUUUAAGUCAGAGGUGAAAGCCCAUCGCUCAACGGUGGAACGGCCAUUGAUACUGUUAGACUUGAAUUAUUAGGAAGUAACUAGAAUAUGUAGUGUAGCGGUGAAAUGCUUAGAGAUUACAUGGAAUACCAAUUGCGAAGGCAGGUUACUACUAAUGGAUUGACGCUGAUGGACGAAAGCGUGGGUAGCGAACA